AGGCAGCUGUCCUGACUGGCCGGAGCCUUCCUGGCCCUGCUGCUACCCGGAGGAGCUGCCUGAGCACACCUGGCCCGACUUCCCUGAGGAGCUGCUGGAGCUGCCACCAAGCCCUGGCCGAGAGGAGCCUAUGCUGAUUGACUGGCCUGGACCCGGUGCAAGUGACGAGUACCACGGAGAAAGAAGUGAAGGGUGGUUUGCUGCUCUUGCAGAGGCCUGCUCAAGGCCCAUGGAGCCGCCCCAGACAGAGGAGCAGCAGCUGGAGGAACCAGACCUGCACAAUCUACAUGUUUUUCACUUGGCAGUGGAGCUAAGGAGUGCUGUCAUGAUAUUCGAGGAGCAGUACCAAGGGAAAAGAAGUGGAGGGUCCAAGUCUGCUCCCCUCGUGCGAUGGAAAGCAAGUAAGAGCGGGGAGACAGCGAACAUUACUGAUGCCAGGCAAGAGCUGUCCAGCUUGGAGCCGAGCAGCCGUCACCGUCAGUGAGAGAAGUGUCUUGGGAAGUGAGCAGAGCCCUCACCUAACACUUGGCUUCAAGUACAGAUGCCCAGUUAGCUACGGCUCGGUGUGUAACAAAAUGUUCCUGACGAGCUGUGGAUAUGUGGGAGACAAGGUCCCCAUUUUCAGCAUCAGCUCAUUUCUCUGUUCACAAGCGGUGUGUCCUCUGCAGAAAAGCUUGGAUCCAGGAGGAUGAUUCCAGCCGCGCUGGUACAGGAAUUGUCCAGGAACCCUACCCGGAGGAGAGACUCUCAGAAGUGAACCUGAUCAGCCUGAACAUCCUUCUAAGCAGACAUGAACAGUCCUGAGCCUUCUGCCUCCUGCAUAAAUGGCUGUGAGUAAGCGAAAAAGAAGUCAUGUGCCAGUCUACUGCCCUCAUGUGAUGGAAAGCGAGCGAGAGCGAUGAGACCGUGAGCAUGGUUGAUGCCACGCAAAAACCGUCCAUCUGGCAGCAGAAGAGCCGUCACUGUCAGUGAGAUAAGUGUCUGUCUGUUUUGGUGAGGGCUCUGCUCAUGGCCCACGUUGAUGCUGGUAGGGAUGCCCUGUUAGCUAGGGCUGGGUUUGUAAGACAAGGUUCCUGACUAGCUGUGGUUGUAAGAGACAAGGUUCCCAAUUUCAGGGGCUAAUGAUUCCUCGGGUCAUGAGCAGUGUGUCCUACGCAGCAGAAAGUAGCAUCUAGAGGAUGACUCGAGUUACUUGCCUUCCUCCCAUGUUUCUGUCUUCUCUAUUGUGUUGGCCAACACUCUUGCUCUUUCAUUCUCCGUUCCUUGCCUUUCCUGGUGCUGUCUCCCUAUGUAGGACGCGGGAAAAGGGUACUAGGUGUGCAUCCACACAGUCUGUCUUUGGGACCCAUGAAGAAUUAGGAGGGUAUGAAAAUCAUGCAUAUUAGUGGGUGCCACAGUGGAGCAGAGUCUGUGGGUGUUGACUUGGUCUUUAAUCAUCGCCUGGGGCUGAUGUAGACCAAAUGAGAGAGGGAGGCAGAGAUUAGGGCAAGAUUUCACAUACCUUCAGAGCUUUGUGGAAUGCUGACUCAUCCUUGGCUUUUGCAACUGCACUGGCAGAGGAAUUGUCCAGGAGCGCUGUCUGGAGGAGAGACUCUCAAAAGUGGACCUGAACAUCCUUCUAAGCAGACAUGAACAGUCCUCAGCUUUCUGCCUCCUGCAUAACUGGCUUACCAAGGGAAAAGAAGUCACGUAUCAGUCUACUGUCCUCA